rnacentral:rRNA from 1 species
UGAGGGGAUAUUGGGGCAAUGGGCGAAAGCCUGACCCAGCAACGCCGCGUGAAGGAAGAAGGUCUUCGGAUUGUAAACUUUUGUCUUAUGGGACGAUAAUGACGGUACCAUAGGAGGAGGCCACGACUAACUACGUGCCAGCAGUCGCGGUAAUACGUAGGUGGCGAGCGUUAUCCGGAAUUAUUGGGUGUAAAGGGUGCGUAGGCGGGAUGUUAAGUCAGAUGUGAAAUCUCAGUGCUCAACGCUGAGACUGCAUUUGAAACUAAUGUUCUUGAGUGAAGUAGAGGUAAGCGGAAUUCCCAGUGUAGCGGUGAAAUGCGUAGAUAUUGGGAGGAACACCAGUGGCGAAGGCGGCUUACUGGGCUUUUACUGACGCUGAGGCUCGAAAGCGUGGGGAGCAAACAGGAUUAGAUACCCUGGUAGU